rnacentral:lncRNA from 1 species
AGGAUUCCUUGAGUGUGCUCCUCCCUUCUCCCCAGGGACUGUUGGCCACCAGCCCAUGAGAACAAAGGAAACAGAGUUGAAGGCCAGGGUUCUGAUUGCCCAUGAGUACAACAGAAAUGACUACCAGGAUAAGCUUCAAAGAAGCAGCUCAAUGUUCAUUGAGAUGAAUCAAGGGCUAUAUAGAUUUUGGGGAAGGGGGUAGGAAUUUCAAGGGUAGGGCCCAACACUUGAGAGAUGUUAAACAUCAGUCUUUGAUAGAAUCGUGAAGAAGUUGCUAUUAAUAUGAGGGAAGUACUGCUGCAGCAACAGCAUGGAUGAACUUGCCAGCAAGAGUGAAGACAGCUUCCAGGCUGAAUCUGUAUCUAUCACUCAUCAGAAAAAUCACACCAUUAAAUGGCUGUUUGUUGAACCUGUUUGGAUUCUGGCUGCCUGUGAACCUGGAUGCAUGCCACCUUUUCCUUAAAGGGAUUGGAAAGUCAAGAAGGAAAGAGGGUUCUGCGGGAAAGUCUGGACCACUUUCACUGUGCACACGUGUGUCUUCAUCUGUGUAGCUUGUCCUGCUGGAAACCAUUUCCUUCCAUUUUAUAGAUAUCCCGAGGUUUCGCCAAUAGAAAGCACCAGCGACUUAUAGUCUGUCGAGUGGAGACUGAUAUAUGAUUCUUCUGGAUCUUUAUUCUUCAUCAUGCCAUCUGCAAAUAAUGGAAAUUUCCUUUAUAUCCCUUCAAGAUUUUCAUCGUCCAUUUUUGGAAUCUGUUUGAAGAGAAUGACUAAUGGAAAUCCCAUAACAGAGAGACACGUGGAAUAAUGUCUGGAAAUCGGUUAAAAGAAGGAUGAUUCAGUCAAUGGUGCUUUAUUUAGUAAUUGGAAAGAGCCAGAAAAGAGGAUCUUGAAUAUUCUCAUUGCAAAGAAAUGAUCCAUGUUUAAGAUAAAGGACUAAGUAUAUCGAGUUGUUCGGUAUGUAAGAUAAACACAUCCUCAAACAUCAGAGUGUACUUCAUGGAGA